UCCUACGGGAGGCAGCAGUGGGGAAUAUUGGACAAUGGGCGCAAGCCUGAUCCAGCCAUGCCGCGUGCAGGAUGAAGGCCUUCGGGUUGUAAACUGCUUUUGUACGGAAAGAAAAGCGAUCGGCUAAUACCCGGCGGAGCUGACGGUACCUGAGGAAUAAGCACCGGCUAACUUCGUGCCAGCAGCCGCGGUAAUACGAAGGGUGCAAGCGUUAAUCGGAAUUACUGGGCGUAAAGCGUGCGUAGGCGGUGAGUUAAGUCUGCUGUGAAAUCCCCGGGCUCAACCUGGGAAUGGCAGUGGAUACUGGCUCGCUAGAGUGUAUCAGAGGAUGGUGGAAUUCCCGGUGUAGCGGUGAAAUGCGUAGAGAUCGGGAGGAACAUCAGUGGCGAAGGCGGCCAUCUGGGACAACACUGACGCUGAGGCACGAAAGCGUGGGGAGCAAACAGGAUUAGAUACCCUGGUAGUCCACGCCCUAAACGAUGCGAACUGGAUGUUGGUCUCAACUCGGAGAUCAGUGUCGAAGCUAACGCGUUAAGUUCGCCGCCUGGGGAGUACGGUCGCAAGACUGAACUCAAAUGAAUUGACGGA
rnacentral:rRNA from 1 species